GCAGAGAAUUUACUCCUAGGAAAAGAUGGGGCUUGGAAUGAGCAGAUACUGUAUUCUUUAAAAUAAAAUUAAAACCAGAAUCAUGCAGGGCUUACCGGAUCCCUUCUCACAAGCUCUCCGUUGGGCACCACUUCAACCAGGUGGAUGAUGAUGAUCAUGGAAUUCAGAAUCUGGAAUCAACUCUGUGGCUCCUCUUCUCUACAUCUUCCUGAUGGUGGAGCUCACACCAGGCAGACAAUUCUAGAGAGGCUCAAAUUGGAUCUCCUGAAGUAUUAUUGUGGUUUGGCUCCUACCAGACCAGUCUCAACACUGCUGCUUCUUGGUGUCAUCAUUUCCAACCCCUUGGGCCCUAGGCAAUUUGUUGGAUUUUUCCUUCCUUUUUCUUCUACUUCGUAAACUUGUAAUUAUGUGUUUGUGUGAAUGGUCGUAUC